rnacentral:lncRNA from 10 species
CCCUUGCCUUGGUGUACACAAAUUGCUUGCAUCAGCUUGAGAUCCCAGGACCUUUGCCAGGCCACGGGUGCUGGGACUCUGGUGCCCCCAACCCUGGGCAUCCUCAGGCUUUGAGGAGAAUACACAGGAUUUGAAGUCAGAAGACCUAGGUUUGAGUUCUGGCUGAGCCACGCACUGUUCAUGUGACCUUGGACAAAUCACCAAAUUUUUCUGAACAGCAUCUGUAAAGUGACAGUAACCCCUACCUCACAGGGUUGUUGUGAGGAUUACAUAUAUGCUAAAGCAUUUUGCAUAUGAAAA